rnacentral:snoRNA from 1 species
UGUUGACAUUUUCCAGAAUCACUGUACUGAUUUGAUGAAAGUACAUUUGAACCAUUUUCCAUCUGAUAACUGAGAAAAAAAGGGAAAAAAAUAAUCUGUUACC